rnacentral:lncRNA from 1 species
UAUACACUUUAUAUUAUAGCAUAGCUUCUUUGUUAUAUUAUAUAGGUUAUGCAAACAAAUAGUUGGUCAAACCCUAACAGCAUGUUACACAGUAAUAAUGACAACUUCCGGAGGACGUCCUCCAACCCAUCAGAGCUCUUGCACUCAAUGAACUGACAUGUCCACCCAAUCAAAGGAUCAGAAAAUGUAUCUAGCACUGCAGUGCAAAACAUGUGUGUCCAAAUUAGCGGAGCGGCUUGACCUAAGGGAGACAUUUUGGGAUGAGUUACAGAGACCCAGCUCCCUCGGACAGUUUCUGACCUGACCACCGUCAUGUACCUGAAAGACGCAGAGCUUCAAUACUGCCACUCACAAUGGCGUCGUUUCACCCGUUGACUCAACAAGCAUCUCCGUAGAGCGAUGCUGCGACCAGGUGAGCAGACCAACUCCUGGAUGACUGGAGACACACAAACAACAGACACAGAACACACAGCAGUGGCAGGCACUCGCUUGCGUCCCAACUAAUAUCAAGGUCUGCUUUGGCCAGAGGAGGAUGGUGCACAAUGCCCAGGGUGGACCUUGACACAUUUUCCCAAAAGCUUCCUGUACUAAAACACACCUUGAAUGUGGCUCAAAUGUUUAUUUUUUAUUUUUUUACAUUUUAUCUAUUGAAAGAUAUUGAUUUUAAUCAAUGUAGGUAUGGGUAAAGCUAAUUAUAAACCAAACUGUAAUACUGUUGUAAAUUUUAGAUACUGUAUGUGCAGGCUUAUUUAAGUGAGUACCUAAGACCUAACUCAAUGUUUUAAUAUUAACUGUUUUAAAAUACUAUGAG